AUUGAACGCUGGCGGCAUGCCUUACACAUGCAAGUCGAACGGCAGCGCGGACUUCGGUCUGGCGGCGAGUGGCGAACGGGUGAGUAAUACAUCGGAACGUACCCUGUUGUGGGGGAUAACUAGUCGAAAGAUUAGCUAAUACCGCAUACGACCUGAGGGUGAAAGUGGGGGACCGCAAGGCCCCACGCAGCAGGAGCGGCCGAUGUCUGAUUAGCUAGUUGGUGGGGUAAAGGCCCACCAAGGCGACGAUCAGUAGCUGGUCUGAGAGGACGAUCAGCCACACUGGGACUGAGACACGGCCCAGACUCCUACGGGAGGCAGCAGUGGGGAAUUUUGGACAAUGGGGGCAACCCUGAUCCAGCAAUGCCGCGUGUGUGAAGAAGGCCUUCGGGUUGUAAAGCACUUUUGUCCGGAAAGAAAUCGCGCUGGUUAAUACCUGGCGUGGAUGACGGUACCGGAAGAAUAAGCACCGGCUAACUACGUG
rnacentral:rRNA from 1 species